AGUGAACGCUGGCGGUAGGCCUAACACAUGCAAGUCGAACGGCAGCACAGUAAGAGCUUGCUCUUACGGGUGGCGAGUGGCGGACGGGUGAGGAAUACAUCGGAAUCUACUUUUUCGUGGGGGAUAACGAAGGGAAACUUACGCUAAUACCGCAUACUACCUACGGGUGAAAGCAGGGGAUCUUCGGACCUUGCGCGAUUGAAUGAGCCGAUGUCGGAUUAGCUAGUUGGCGGGGGAAAGGCCCACCAAGGCGACGAUCCGUAGCUGGUCUGAGAGGAUGAUCAGCCACACUGGAACUGAGACACGGUCCAGACUCCUACGGGAGGCAGCAGUGGGGAAUAUUGGACAAUGGGCGCAAGCCUGCUCCAGCCAUACCGCGUGGGUGAAGAAGGCCUUCGGGUUGUAAAGCCCUUUUGUUGGGAAAGAAAAGCAGCAGGUUAAUACCCCGCUGUUCUGACGGUACCCAAAGAAUAAGCACCGGCUAACUUCGUG
rnacentral:rRNA from 1 species